GGGCCUUGUGUAUGGUAAGCAAGUGUUCUGAGCUAUAUCCUCAGCCUUGGUGUGUAUAUCCUCAGUCACAGGGUGGUGACUACACACUUUCUAGUCCUCUAGAAGAGUUAUAGAGGCAAGGUGAAUUAAUGCAAGAUGUUGGAGAUUCUCUGGUAGACCAGAUUGUCUACUCUAGGACCUGUUGGGGAGCUGGAAAGAAGAAAUCAAAAGAAGGAAUUCUGGAUCCUGAUGGCAAUAACUGUUCAUGACAUUGAACCAGCCAUGGAAGCCUUCUGUGAGUCUGUUUCCCCAGGCUGCAAAUGAGACUGAUGACACCUG
rnacentral:lncRNA from 1 species